rnacentral:rRNA from 1 species
UACGAAGGGGGCUAGCGUUGCUCGGAAUUACUGGGCGUAAAGGGUGCGUAGGCGGGGCUUUAAGGCAGGGGGGAAAUCCUGGAGCUCAACUCCAGAACUGCCUUUGAUACUGAAGAUCUUGAGUGCGGGAGAGGUGAGUGGAACUGCGAGUGUAGAGGUGAAAUUCGUAGAUAUUCGCAAGAACACCAGUGGCGAAGGCGGCUCACUGGCCCGAUACUGACGCUGAGGCACGAAAGCGUGGGGAGCAAACAGG